rnacentral:rRNA from 1 species
UACGUAGGCAGCAAGCGUUGUUCGGAAUUAUUGGGCGUAAAGAGCUCGUAGGCGGUCUGUCGCGUCUGCUGUGAAAACUCAGGGCUUAACCCUGAGCUUGCAGUGGGUACGGGCAGACUAGAGUGCGGUAGGGGAGACUGGAAUUCCUGGUGUAGCGGUGAAAUGCGCAGAUAUCAGGAGGAACACCGGUGGCGAAGGCGGGUCUCUGGGCCGUAACUGACGCUGAGGAGCGAAAGCGUGGGGAGCGAACAGG